CACUGAAUCAAAGUGCUAGAAAAUUCCUUUUCUCAGGCACUUCUGAGGCUGAAGGAAGACACAACAGUUGAGCUGCACCCUUCAUUUCCUACUUUGUUCAAAAAAGUUUACACAAUGAAAACACACAAGAAACCCAGUGAUCAGAAUAGAGCUGGUUUCCACCAGAUCUGCAUAGACCACAGGAAAACUUAUCAUCUGUCUCUCUCUUCACGGGGUACCUCUUGCAAGUAAGAUAAAGCUAAUCAAAGCCUGGAGCAGUUGUGCCAGGACAGAGUGCAUUAGGCAUACAGAAGCCACUACUCUGAAAGCCACUACUCUGAAAGAAGCCACUAGGUGGCCUUGUCUAUGUAAGCAGGAAUGAUUUGAUAUGCUCCUUUAUAUUUUAAUUGAAAUGGAAUGCACAGAUACUGCCUGCUGCAAAGAGAAAAUUCACUCUAAUGAAUGAGUGAAAGCUUGUGUGGUCUUAAAUGUUUGUCUAAUAUGUACAAAUAUUCCAUAAAGGAUUUUGGACAUUUUUUUUCUGUUCUUGUCAUUUAAAAUGAAAGUGUUUCAGUAUCAAAAAUAAAUUCCUGUAUUUGUUCCCAAGGCUUAAACAAUUCUCAUGUACCUGCACUACAAUAUCCAUUUUCCCAGUGGCUUGAAUGACCAUACAGUUCUACCUGAUUUUCAUACCUCAGAUGUAAAAAACUGUAUCAAUGAACUUUGAGUUCUCAUUGCAAGUGUGUUUCUAUUGCAGAUAAAUAGA